CGGACGGGUGAGUAAUGUCUGGGAAACUGCCUGAUGGAGGGGGGUAACUACUGGAAACGGUGGCUAAUACCGCAUAACGUCGCAAGACCAAAGAGGGGACCUUCGGGCCUCUUGCCAUCGGAUGUGCCCAGAUGGGAUUAGCUAGUAGGUGGGGUAAAGGCUCACCUAGGCGACGAUCCCUAGCUGGUCUGAGAGGAUGACCAGCCACACUGGAACUGAGACACGGUCCAG
rnacentral:rRNA from 1 species